CAGUGCUCUGGGAAAGUUUAUAGUCCUGAGAGUUGAACACUGGAUGACUGACAGCUGUCCUUCAUCACAACAGAAGACACAGAAAUCCUCCUCAUCAAAAACAUGACUUUGAUCUACGUCCUCAUCUGGACUCUCCUCUGCUGCUGCUUCACAGAGUCCAGAGGUCAGGUCACAGUGACUCAGCCUGCAGCAGUGAGAACUGAUCUUGGAGGAUCUGUCACCAUCAGCUGUAGAACCAGUCAGAAUGUUUAUGUUUACAGCAGCAGCUACUAUUUAUCCUGGUACCAACAGAAAGAUGGACAAACUCCUAAGCGGCUCAUUUAUGCUGCUAGCUCUCGAGAAUCAGGGACUCCAAGUCGUUUUACAGGCAGUGGAUCAAACUCUGACUUCACUCUGACCAUCAGUGGAGUUCAGGCUGAAGAUGCUGCAGUUUAUUACUGUCAGAGUGCUCACUCUAUUAACAGCCAGUGGGUGUUCACACAGUGAAAAACUGUCGUACAAAAACCUCCCUCAGUCAGACUGAACUGAAACUGAACUGCAGCUGCAGAAACUGAUUUUGUUCAGUGAACAAACUAAAACACACAAACUGGUUUUAAUCCAGUAAAAUUAAUGGUAUUUUAACUUCAGCACUUUUACUACAGAAGGACAAGAAACUCUUUAAACUUUCAAACUGACAUUAUUCUGACUACAUUUUUAAAAUACUUUCCAAUAAUCAAGGCUUAAGCAGUUUAAGGCAUGUUUACAAUGACUGAAAAUAACUUUUGACCUUCAUGACCUCUGCCUCACAGUGGUUUAAAACUGAUUUUACAGAAGCAACACUGUAUUUAUAUCCCACUCAGCAAACUAUUCUGUGUGAUCAAAAAUAAAUGAAACACAUCACAAACAUUCAUGAAACAGUGUAAGAGUAAACAAAAAGCAUUGAGAAAAACAUGUCUUAUAAUUUAUUAUGAUGAACUUUGUAAACAAAAACAAAAAAUCAAAAAUAUGGAAAUUUAAUUUGAGGCAGCAGCUAACUGAACAAAAUCAGAAAGAUCAAAUUCAAAGCUGCUCAGUCUUUGAUGUUGUUUACAUUUAUGAUACUUCUAAUGUAAAAUUAUUAAAGUAAAGAGAAACUGA